AUUGAACGCUGGCGGCAGGCCUAACACAUGCAAGUCGAACGAGUGGCGGACGGGUGAGUAAUGUCGGGGAAACUGCCUGAUGGAGGGGGAUAACUACUGGAAACGGUCGCUAAUACCGCAUACCCUCAGAUGUGCACAGAGGGGUUUAGCUAGUGUGGGGGGUAACGGCUCACCAAGGCGACGAUCCCUAGCUGGUCUGAGAGGAUGACCAGCCACAUUGGAACUGUGACACGGUCCAGACUCCUACGGGAGGCAGCAGUGGGGAAUAUUGCACAAUGGGCGCAAUCCUGAUGCAGCCAUGCCGCGUGUAUGAAGAAGGCCUUCGGGUUGUAAAGUACUUUCAGCGGGGAGGCGUUACCCGCAGAAGAAGCACCGGCUAACUCCGUGCCAGCAGCCGCGGUAAUUC
rnacentral:rRNA from 1 species